rnacentral:tRNA from 1 species
GGGAGUGUAGUUCAAUGGUAGAUUAUUUGUCUUGCAUGCAAGAAACCCUGGGUUCAUCCCCAGCAUCA